rnacentral:lncRNA from 1 species
AUUGACAGAGAUAAUGAUGCCGUUGCAUUUGAAAAUAAGGUACAGCAACUGACCCCAGAGGAGGGAGGAAAGGAAAUUUUUUUGCUGUUGGGGAAGCAAAGGGCCUGAGCUGUAAAGCCAGAGAUGAUUUGUCAGACUCACAUGAUGAAGCAGGAAAGUUCCAAGAAAACCCAAGCAUCUAAAAUCUUAAAUGACUGCUCCACAUCAGAAAAAAAGAUGUCCACUUGUGAAAUCUGCAUUCAUACAUGGCAGUGGCAAUUACAUGCAGUUACUGUGAAGCUGGUUUUCAUGAGCGUUAUGUUCUUACUCAGCAUAAGAAGACUGAUAGAGAUGAAAAAAGAUUCAAAUGUGAUCAGUGCAGCUACACAUGCAAGCAGAAUAAUGUGUAAGCAUGCUGAAGAUUGUGGACUGGUGAUGGCAAAAACUGCUACACCCAGAAAAAGAAGCAAGGGCAGAAGGAAAAAAUGUGAGAACCUAAAGCAUGUUAAGCAAGAAGGUUCUGCCUAUUACUAG